rnacentral:tRNA from 1 species
GCCUGGGUGGCUCAGUUGAUUGAGCAUCUGACUUCAGCUCAGGUCAUGGUCUCAUGGUUUGUGAGUUCAAGCCCUGCAUCGGGCA